rnacentral:rRNA from 1 species
AUACAGAGGGUGCUAGCGUUGUUCGGAAUUACUGGGCGUAAAGCGUGCGUAGGCGGCUUACCAAGUCAGAUGUGAAAUUUCGGGGCUCAACUCCGAACGUGCAUUUGAAACUGGUAGGCUAGAGUACAUUAGAGGUUGGUGGAAUACACAGUGUAGAGGUGAAAUUCGUAGAUAUUGUGUGGAACACCGGUGGCGAAGGCGGCCAACUGGGAUGUAACUGACGCUGAGGUACGAAAGCGUGGGGAUCAAACAGGAUUAGAUACCCUGGUAGUCCACGCCGUAAACGAUGGACACUCGCUGUGAUUGGUAUAGACCCCGAUCGUAGCCAAGCUAACGCGAUAAGUGUCCCGCCUGGGGAGUACGGUCGCAAGAUUAAA